UACAGAGGUCUCAAGCGUUGUUCGGAUUCAUUGGGCGUAAAGGGUGCGUAGGUGGCGCCGUAAGUCGGGUGUGAAAUUUCGGAGCUUAACUCCGAAACUGCAUUCGAUACUGCGGUGCUUGAGGACUGGAGAGGAGACUGGAAUUCAUGGUGUAGCAGUGAAAUGCGUAGAGAUCAUAGGAAGACCAGUGGCGAAGGCGGGUCUCUGGACAGUUCCUGACGCUGAGGCACGAAGGCCAGGGGAGCAAACGGG
rnacentral:rRNA from 1 species